CAGCACGGCGGCCAGCGUCAAGCCCCACAGCGCGGGAGCCAGAAGGAGAACAAGUGGUCGGUGACGACCCGGUGGGAGGUCGCCGACGUCACCUCAGGCAGGUGGUUGCUCAUGCUCGCCAGGGUCUUCAAGAGGCUCUCGGCGCUGUCAGCGACCACCAUGAGUGCGCUGGGGACGAUGUCGGCGUGCAGGCGGAGGGCGCCCCUCCCAGGAGAAGUUGGUCGGCAGGAGGGCGCGGGGCGUCUCCCGGGGCAGGUCAGGAACAGGGUGGCGUUACACGGCGCGAUGGUCGCGGACAGCAGAGCCGCCCUCAAGGCCUCGGCGUCGGCGGGGGCGUGCCAGCGGCCGCGAGGACGGCCAAGAGAGUGACGCGAGGGAGGCAGGCGAACGUCAGACGAUGCCUAUGUCGUCGCUGGCUUUUCGCGCUUUGCGACAGCCUCCAGGGCCCCGACCAGCAUACACUCCGUCCUAUGCCCCUCGGCCGUGCCCCGUGCCUUGGUCGACAACGAGCAGUGCGUGUAGCUGGAGCCGGGGCGUGGAGCGGCCGCCCCGGCCGAGUGGGUGUGCGGUGCGGUGCUGCUGCGUUGGUGAUGCGCGGCAGCGGCAACCCGUUUAAGGGUGGGGUCCUCUGUAGACCUCCACGGGAGGCGCGGCGUGGCAAGCGCGAGCAGUUUGGACUUCCCCUCGGCUGCUGCUCGUGCUACUGUGUGGGCUCGACAGGGCCGAGCAGCCGAGGGGCCCUGUCCCGCACCCGCGCUCCAACCUUCAAAUUGCUUUUUCAGAGUGUUGGAUGCUUCUGAAGGGUAGGCAACCCACUCGGCACACGAGCGAGGCGGGUCGGUCAAUGGUUACUCGUUGCAGGCGCCGUGACAGGCAAGCAUCAUCAUAAUUAAGUCUCGAAAUUGAUUCUUUACGCUAGGGUAUGUUAUCCCAGGAUCGAAGAGAAGCGACAUUGUUCACAUCGUGAUUGUUCCUAUCUGAUCUACGCGACAUCUCGACAGUUUCUUUUUUUUUUCUAAAGAACGGUAGAGAAAAACAGGAAUCCGAGAACGUGGCGUUGUAGGGACAAUACACGGGCACAUGAGUAUCACAAACUAGACGCCCAUCGCAGUUUUGUUUUGUGUUAAAACGUUAAACGGAUACCGAACGCCUCUCGGGACCAUUCGAACCCCUCCCGUCGCGCCGCCGCCUCCCCGGGUACCAACGGACCGCCCGCAGCAAGUCUGCGCAUCGUCGUCCUACAUCACUGCCGUUUCUCGUUUUCACUCCACUAAAUUGUGCCAUCGUAAUAAAUCUUCAUUUCAUUGUGAAUGAACAGUCUUUCUAUGCAGCGCCACGUUCUGAGAUUUUGCAUUUAUUGCAGGGUGUUUUAGUUUUCAGGCCUUGCCAGCCUGCCUGAACGAAAGAAUGAUGGAAUAGUUGACGGUCAGCUAACAGCUUCUGCUUUGGACGCGGCCGUUUGCGUCGGCCUUGUUUGUAAUUUGUAAUUUAUUUAACAAUAAUCGGUCGGUCAUAACAGUUAGGACAUCAUAUAGUGUGUUUUGCUGUUGUUUCAUCGCACCAACAUUCUUUACGACGCCGGCAAUGGUUUUGUGGAGAGACUUGCCGAGGUCAUUUAGCUGCUGACCAUGCUGACUUUGGCGAACUUUGAGUGCGGUCGUUAAAGCCAUAUUAUUUUCAUCGAACUACUUUUCAAACACUGAUGUUUGUUCUCAGUAAGGGGAUCGAGACAACGCCCUUUUGUACAAUCAGUUGUUGCGUUUCUCCAAAGGUAUUUUGUUACUCCUAUCGCUGACUGACAAAUCCUAUGUGGAGAGUUCCAAGUCCACUUCAACCUCUGUGCAUCGUCGGAUCUGCCUGCCGUCACUUUGUAGGGAGUAGCUUCCUGUGUUGAGCAAGAGUUUGGUAAUGAAGGUUUGGAGGUGUUACCUCAUGUCAAUCAAAAUGGAAGGGUUUUGACCUCAGAAUAUAGAUUUUGUUGUGAUGUGAUUUCUGAUUUGUAAAUAAUGAUUGGUGCUUUAAAAUCCCGUAUGUUUCAGGAGAGGACUGUGUGAUUACUUUUACACUGGCCGAAAAAUCCUUUGUGGAGAGUUCCGAGUCCACUUCAACCUUGGGGCAUCGUUUGAUCUGUCUGCCGCCAACAUGUAGGGAGCAACUUCGUGUUUGCUGAGAGAGACUUUGGUAAUGAAGUUUUAGAGGUGCAAACUCAUAUCAAUCAAAAGCGGACCACCAAGUUUUAACACAAAUAGGUGUUUUAAAAUCCUGUAUGUUUGAGAAGAGGACUGCGUGACUGCUUUCUCAAGAAACUGACCUCAGUUGGUAUUCCGUGUCAAGUUAUGUGCUUUAUAUCGUACCUGGCUGAGCAACGGAAUUUUUCACACAAUUCAUUGCUGUGCCUGCCUUCUCAUCAAAACUGAAAGUUGGAGCCCCCUUCAGCAGACCAAUGUAUGGGUGCGUGUCAACUGACCAUUUCUUUCCGGCCUGGAUUCAUAAUUAAGUUGCAUCUUAAGGACACUGAACGGCAAGUGUUUGUCUUCUGCUGUUUGUUUAUUCCCGCUGAAAAAUAACUUCUAUUAUCAAGGUAUGAUUGACUCAACCAUCCACCACCGUAUUGGCUCUUACCCAAUAAUCAAGUGUCUGUGUCCUGGACACCCUGCACAGCUCACUCCAGUUUCGCAUUUGGUUUUUGUUGCCUCAGUUUUCUCUAAAAAGGAGAGGUUGGGUUGGGCGUCAGUAUUGAAGACGAAGGAAUCCGCAUCUUGAGCAAGCGACCUCCUCUUUCAAGACUUGGAUGCAAUGUGACGAAUGGAUUAUAGAAAUUGCCUGAAGUGUUUUGUGCUUGUGAGUCAGUAUUUGCUGGGACAUCAUGGCCAUGCUGACCAUUCAAUAAUCUGUGCAUGUAUUACUUUAGUGGGGGGUCUGAAUUUGUGGUUGUUCCCACCUGCAGCUAGUUCCUUCUCUUUAGUUUGGUAAAAUCUUUUCUUCAAGGUUUGUUUUGUUAUUCCUGAAAUGGUUUCUAUAAUGGUCUCUCUUAAAUUUUUGUUGUAUGGAAGUGUCAAAAUUAUUCUGUGGCGAGUUGUGUAGUACUGUUAAAACAGGAGCCAAGAGUCUGCUCUGUCUCUUUCUGCAAUCUUUUUGUUAUUUUUCAAAGUAUAAUGACUGCAAUAUUUUGAUUUUGUUAACAUUUUGUUGAAAGUCUUAGUAUUAUCCUAAUUUUGUCAAGGGUACAAUUGUAGGUUGUAAGUGUGGUAAUUAUUUUGUAUAGUUCUAAUGGUGGCCCCACAAUGGAAGGAAGACAGUACCCAUCAUUGCAAAUUUUGCUGAUGGGCAUACAGCUUGGGUUUGAUAGAUGCAACUAGGUCGUUCAGAAAUGCAUUAGACAUAUUUUCACAAAUUUGGAACACAUUUUAGUGCUACUUUAUGGGUUUACAGAAAAAUUAUGGGUUCUGGUGGGUCCCUCAUAGAGGCUCAAAAAAGUCUGCAAGAUUGUUGAAAACACAUAUAUUGCAUUAGCAAACCUGGGCUGCAUCCCUCAUAGCAAAAUUUUAAAUGAUUGGUGAUGUAUUACUGUGUUCCACCUUUAAUAUGGCGAGCAGAAACAAUUCACCUGUACUUGAUGGACAGAUUGAUGCAACACUUCAAAUCAGUCUACAGCAGUGUAUCAACCAUGUUUCAUUAAGCUUUCUGCCCUUCAUGCUUCUUGGAUCAACCGAGCUAAAGCAGGGGCGGAAUGGCAUGUAAAACUUUGCAUUUGCAGUCUACUUUGGCAAUUCUAGUACUGUUUAUGUUGUCAAUUACUGGAUCACCCCUGGCAAUGUUUCCAUACAUUUGAACUUGAGUGUUGUGAGGUCAAGAUUCACCUUAUAUUUUGAAAGUAUCCUAUGGCCAAAUGAGAUGGUGUUGUCAUUAUAUUUUACUCUGAUUUUCAUGUAUUUUGAAGAUAGUCUAAUUUUCUGUAUCAGGGUUGUGUUUUCUCAUGGUGUUUAAAACCUUACUGGAGUGGUAAAAUAACAUCGAGUAACUGGUUGCUUUGUACCGCCUGAUAAACAUCUUCUGUUGAUGGGAGAAUUCAAUGUAUGAAAAUUGAUCGUUUCUUUUUCUUUGGAAUGUGUGUGCUUUUAUCAAAGAAAGCGCUAACGGUCAACGUGAAAUGCUUUUGUGUCAGUUACUUUUUAAUUUUUGCGUGCUUUACUUCAUACAUUGAGUUUAUAUUUUAGAAAUGGGCAUCUAGUUUUUGUUAUAGUUAUGUCCUUGAGAAAAAAUCUAUCUGAAUCUUUUAUGUGAACUUUCCUUUAUGGAUUCUGAUAACAUUUGGGAAUAUUGUUAUUUCUUUUGCAUUAAGUGUU